CGCCCCCGCCCCCCCGACCCGCCCUUCCGAUGGCGAGAAGGCGAACCGCGCAGACAGCCCCGGCGGGCGGCUCAGCCCGAGGGGCCUCGGGGGUCCAAGCUGCAGGUUUUUCCUUUCUUUUCAUCUUAAAACUAAGUUCCACCGUUUAAAACCCAAAGAGCUAGAAACCUCGGAAUAUCUGUUUCUUUCUUAAAACCAGAAUUUUUAAAACGCCGUGCUUUAUGAAAAUACAAAGGGGAGAGACUGGCGAGGCGGCUCGGAGGUCAAAAGUACCGCUCUUGCAGAGAACCAGGGUUCGGUUCCCAUCACCCACAACCCGCGUCUCACCCUGCCCCUUAACUCAAGUUCGGGGGAGAUCUGCGGCGUGCACAAACACACACCUACACUUUAUUUUGAAAAAAAUAAAUGUUUAAAAAGUCAAAAGUAGCAGGAAGGCUACUUGGCAAGGAGACAAAUGGGGGGGGUAAAGGAGAAUGGAUAUGGUCAAGAAACUAAUUUUCUUUUAUCAGUGGCAUGAAACCUACACUUCCUACACUGAGUAGAUGCUCAGAAAGUGUAAAAAUCACCCUUUACUGCGGAAGCGGGGUAAAAAUGAAUAGAAUCCGUGCUGGGUCUAUGAUAUUCGUUGUAUUCUAUGGAAUCAUUUGUUUCUUCUUAAAACAACAACUUGAGGGUGUUUUGUUUGUCCCAGCCAGCGUUGCAUCAUGGUUAUGUAUUAAGAAGUGCAAAUGUUGCUGUACAGAAGCCAAAUCCUACACGAGGAGCCCCAGAGCAGUCACCAUGGGCAGACAGCUGGUAUCUUGAUACUACUGUGGGUACUGGUCACAAACACCCAGGAGCUUCCAAAACGGUUCUGUCAAAUUGGAAGAUCUGCAGAAUUAUUUUAGGGUUUUGGUUUUUGCUGCAUAGUUGGUUGCUUUCUUGAGCAGAAAGCAACAAGUGCUUGUGCUCAGGUCACUUUCUCCUCUUUAUACACUCCAGGGUGGCCCAGGGAAUGGCGCCACCCACAGCGGGUGUGUUUUCCCAAAUGAAGGCACUCCUGAACAGAUAUUGAGUCUUAGUUUGAUUUCUAUUGUUGUGAUAAAGAUCAUUACCAAAAGCAACUUGGAAAGGAAAGAGUUUACUUGGCUUACACAUCCUGAUUAUUGUCGAUCUUUGAGGAAAGUUAGGAUAGAAACUCAAGGCAGAAUCAGGAACUGUUUCAAAAACCAUAGAGGAGUGCUGCUUACUGGCUCACUCUCCAGGGUUUGCUCAGUUUAGUUUCUUAAACAACCCAGGACCACCUGCCUAGGGGUGACACCACCCACAGUGGGCUGGCCCUCCUAUAUCAAUCAUUAAUCAAUAAAAAGCCCACAAACAUUGCCUACAAGCCAAUCUGAUGGAGGCAACUUAUCAGCUGAUAGUCCCUCUUCCCAGAUGACUGUAGCCUGUACCAAGUCACCAAAAAACAAAACAAAACAAAACAAAAACAAACAAACCUAGCCAGCACACAUUCUCAAAGGUUAAACUUAAUCUACAGCAGUGGUUCUCAACUUUCCUAACACUGCGAUUCUUUAAUACAGUUCCUCGUGUGGUGACCCUCAACCAUAAAAUUAUUUUUGUUGCUACUUCAUAAAUGUAUUUUUGCUACUGUUACAAAUUAUAAUGUAAAUAUCUGAUACGCAGGCUCUCUGAUAUACGACCCCUGUGAAAGGGGGCCGAAUGACCAACUGGUUGAGAACUGAUCUGGAUAAUUCUUCAUAGGUGUGCCUGAAAGCUUGCAUUCUAAGAGAUUCUAGAUUCUGUCAUCAAGUUGACGACCACUGUUAACAACUACACCUUCCGUCUUCCAGAGCUCCACGUCCCAACCCCUAGAAUCCACAAGUACAUUAUCUUAGGCCUUAAAGGGGAUUUUGUAGAUUACACUGAAGACACAGGAUGGGAAGAAGGUCAUGGUUCAUCCUGAGUGGGUCUUAUAGAAUCCCUGGGACUCUCAUGAUGGAGAGGAGGAUGAAGAGUCAGGGGAGUGACAAUGUGGUGACAAUGACAAAGGAUGGAGGUGUGCCUUAACAAAGCAGUGAUAAUGUUGGGCAGGGAGUUAGGUAUGAGGUAACUAAGGAAAACCACAGCUGGAUCUUGGGAACUGUGAUUCUCACAGCAUCUCUUCUGGUGAAAAAUCCUUGAGGCUGCAGUUGGGUUGUUUCUGUUAGAUUGGAAAACAAUGCAUUUUUCACACAUGUGCGAUAGCGAAGGGUCUGCAUCUACCAAAGACCCUGCCUUCCUUAUAACAUCAUUUGCACUGUGGCCCUUGACCCUCUCCCUGUGUGGGUUUUCCUAGAGGAACAUGGGGGAAAAUAUCCAGAAGUGGAGAUCCUGUCCACUGUUUUUUGAGAGGGAAAGGGGUCAUCUUACCCCAUGACAUUGUCAACCACCUCAUAAAUAUUUAUAAAAUAUCCACAGCUGUGCCACCUACCUAAUAAAUAUUCAUAAAUAAUAAAAUUUUGCUUAAAUUGUUCUCUUGCCUGAGAACUGAGAGCCCCAUACCCAUAACAGCAGGAUUGAUCAAGCCAAGGAAUACAGGCAGCUUCCAGAAUGUAGAAAGACACAGAGCAGUCUGCCAGAGUAGAUGAAGCUUUAACAAUACCUAGACAUUCACCAUUCAGACUGGCAUUAUUUUAAACUCCAAGAUCAUAAAUUGAUGUACAUGAUGAGGCAUUGCUUUCUUUCUUUUUUUUUCAUUACUGAAUCUAGGGCAUUGUGCAUACUAGGCGAGUGUUUUACCAUUGAGCUAUAUUCCCUUCCCCUUUAAAUAAAAAAAUUUUAUCACAUUUA